GAUGAAGAACGUAGUGAAAUGCGAUACUUGGUGUGAAUUGCAGAAUCCCGUGAACCAUCGAGUCUUUGAACGCAAGUUGCGCCCGAAGCCAUCAGGUUGAGGGCACGUCUGCCUGGGCGUCACAUAUCGUUGCCCAAUGCCUAUUGCAGUGCAAUAGGAAUUUCUAGGGCGAAUGAUGGCUUCCCGUGAGCGUUGUUGCCUCGCGGUUGGUUGAAAAUCGAGUCCUUGGAAGGGUGUGCCAUGGUAGAUGGUGGUCGAGUUAGAACGAUACCGAUCAUGUGCAUGCUCCCCAAAAUAUGGCCUCUAUGACCCACACGCGUCUUUUGACGCUCAUGACGAGACCUCAGGUCAGGCGGGGCUACCCGCUGAAUUUAAGCAUAUCAAUAAGCGGAGGA
rnacentral:misc_RNA from 1 species